CACACGUGCGCGCGUGCACAGAGAGAAACAAAGGGACCCAUCAACACUAGCACGGACACGCACGCGCUCCAACUUUUUUUUGUUGUUAUCCACCCAUCGGAUACCUCCGCGAGGCGCGAGCUGCUCCACUGUGUCCAGAUCUGUGGGAUUUUACGGAACCAGACGUUUCACAACUGUGCUCAAUUUUGGGAUUUUUGAUUAUUUCGAUAUUUAUGGAUUAAGGAUUACCCACAAUUCCUUUUCUUGUUACUGGAUUAUUACUCUGCACUGGGAUUAGUGCACCAUCCAUGAGGGGAGAGCAGCACGAAGCGUACUAAUCACGAGGAAUCAGAUGGUUUGGAAUUUGAUCAUAUUCCAGAUGUAUCCAGAAAUAGCAGAAUGGGCGACUGCUGAAUCUGUCCACCACUUCCUGUACAAGAUUAUCUUAUCUUUCCUCUUUCAGCUCCCACACCAUGUGAUCCUGCCAUUCUUCAGUGAAACAUCGGUCGCUCCCAAAUCCAAAAACGUCCUCCAGACGUCCAGACGUUCUUGUUUCAUACCCUGUCUGUUCAGAUCCUCCUUUUCCUAAACUUACUGGUUUAGAGCUGUGGUGGAUUCAGAGCCUAUCUUGGGAUUUGCUGAGCUCAAGGCAGGGAUACACCCUGAAACACACACACACACACACACACACACACAGACUGGACCCGGUGUUUUGGAUCGAUUCUGAAUCCUUCACACGCAGCUGAUAAGCAACAGAGGAUGUGAGAUGAUUACUCAUAGAUAUGAUGGAGUUAGAUUAGGGAAGAUUAUCACGUGUUACCAUAGCAACAUUGAUUAAAACAAUAUAAACAUGUCACUUAUAAAUAAAAUGAUCAACAGUAGGCUGUAAUACUGGAGCACCAUCAAAUCUAGUGUUUCCCCUCCUCUCUCUCGUACUUUAAACCUCUCUGUCCUUCUAACUGUCUCUCCUUUCUGAUUAACUGUGUCUAUUCUCUUAUCUGUCUCUCCUGUUUUUGUCUGUGUAUCUUGUGUACCUGUAUCACCUCCUGUGUCUCUUACUGUCACUCUGUCUCUCUCUCUGUCAGUCUCUCGUUUGUCUCUUCAUGUAUGUGUCUUUAUCAUCUGCCUGUUUCUCUCCUCCUGUAUGUCUCUGCUUCUGUCUGUCUCUUUAUCUUAAAUGCUCUCAUUUAGUCUGUCUGUCUUUCAUUCUAUUGCAUUCCAUCUUUCUCUCCUACUGACUCUCUCUACUUGUCUGUCUACGUUCCUAUGUGUCUUGUGUUCUGUCUUUUCUUCUAUUGCUCUCCAUCCAUCUGUCCAGCUGCCUACUUCUGUCUGUCUCUCCUCCAAUGUUGUGUUUCACUAUCUGUCUCUCUCCAAAAUGUGUCUUCAGUUUUGUUUCUCUCUGUUUCCUUCCUUCAAUCCAUCCAUCCAUCCAUCCAUCCAUCUAUCAGUUUCUGAUUUGUUUAUGGUCUGUUCUAAAGCAAUCUAACAGCCCUGAGUGAUAGAUACAGAUAGAAGCAUGUUAACAACCGUUCUGUUUUAAAUGCCUUUAAAAUAGCAGAAUGCAGUUCAAGUUGAGGCUGUUUUAGGCAACGGGUGUGUGUGUGUGUGUGUGUGUGUGUGUGUGUGUGUGUGUGUGUGUGUGUGUGUGAUUGAGAUUCCUGUGGGAGAUUUUUACUAGACGUUAAUGAACUCCACUUGGUGCAGGAGAGCGUGUGUGUAUUCCAGCGGCGGGGGUUCAGGCGAGUUCAUUGCUCUGAGCUUUUCUAAAUGAACGACUUGUAAAAGCAACCAAACUCGCAGGCGUUCUCUCGUUCGUAGCAUUUUUUUUGGCGGAGAGACGGAAACGGAUCUGCAGUCCACCUGAAGACAGCGGCGUGUUUUAACACUAACACUAGUGGUUGCUGGUUGUUCUGUGAAGGCUGCACUGCUCCUGUUUACUGGCUGAACUCAAACGCAUGCAGACCUCACAUACAUACAUCAGUGAUGAUCUGUUCACUGAUCAGUGUAACCUGCUUUAGAAGAACUUAAAUAAAUAAAUAAACUGAAAUAAGUCAGCUAGCACUGCAAAGCUUUGUGUUGAUGAUGUAAGGUAAGGGGGUUUUGAGGGUUGUCCCAAAAGCUUCAGCUUUCAGCGCUUCUAUGAUGUAGCUCAUGUUUGGGUUUUCCUGUGCUGCUGGCUGCCACUCAACUUUAUGUCUUUAUUUUCUCCAAACCUGUCCUUUUUCUACUUCAUCUGUCCAUCCACUGGUUUCCUUAAAUGGCUUUGUCUUCAUUUGAAUAUUGUUUUUUUAGUGAGGUCAUGGAUAAGAUUUUUUUUCUGAUGACUCCUUCAUGCAGAUCACGUUGUUCACAGAGCUGCUGUGUAAGCUACACCUUCAUAAAAGUUCUUGCUGUCAUAUUGGUCUGCUCUAUCAUCUAUCACAUAUUUACUUGACGUUCUUAAUGAAAUUGAAUGAAAAUUGUCAGCUGGAAAGCGUUUUCUUUUUAUAGCCCUGCUUUGUUGGCAUCAAUUAGCAUGAUGUUCAGAUCCUUAGUCAGCUGCUGUGAGGAGCCCAUGGCUGCUGAGUGUUAGCACAAGGUUUGACGAGUCAGAGAAUUUAUUACGCUCUGGAUAUGUUCUUCCUAAUGACGGUUCUUGACCUGUUUAAUGAGUCCUAAUGAGUCAAUUAAGGCCCAGCUUUUGCAAAUUCCACAUUGUUAUUUUAUUUAUUUAUUUAUUUUCGUUCAUCAUGUAUAAAGUAUGUCUGCGUUAACGUUUGCAAACAGAAAGUUAAUUGAAUUUAAAUGUUUAAUAUGUUUUGUAAUGUAAUUUGAAUAGGGGUGCCUAAACUUUUGCACACACCUGUUUUGUUUUUUUUUUUGUUUUUUUUUUAGAUUUUAGUGCUGUGUGAGAUUUGGAGUGAUGAGUUAGAAAUUUGAGAAAAGAGGGAUAAUAAAUUAGAGGUGGGAAAGAAAGAAAAGAAAAGAUUAGAAGUGAAGAAGUCAUCAGUGAACUCACAUCACCCUUCAGCUCGGCAAUAAUUUGCCUUUAUAAGCAGCGAUUACUGUGUGUAACUGCCUAGAAACUCAAACACACACACACACACACACACAAGGUCGUCUGGUGUAAGCAGGCCUUGUCUGAACCUCGUUGUGCUGCCAAACCUCACACCUCUGUGAUUACAGCCUGUUUACAUAGAAGGGACUUUCCAGGCCGGUGUUCAUGCCCCGGUUUCUGUUAAGGAAGAAGACCAGAGAGCAUGGGAGUGUUUUCUGCACCUUGAUGAAGAAAAUAUCUCUCUGUGGGCUGUGACUAAAGAACCCUACAGCUAACCAGUGGUUAUGUAACCAAGCAUAAGGAACUGUGAUUGAUCACGAUGUUCACGUCGGGACUCGUCAAGGAAACAGCAACGAGGAGGAGGAGGAAGAUUCAUCCUGAGUCACUGAGUGAAACUGAGAAUGUGAGGACAGAAGACUGGAAGGAGAUGAAGCCCCUCUCUGUGAGGUCAGGAGCCACUAUUGAUUACCCGCCCAGCAGGAGCCCACUUGGACGUUUAAAGACUUGACAAACCCAGGGAAAGUGAGCCAUGAGCCGUCACACCUUGUGACCCAGGAAGGAAAUUCAGGAGCAAAUUAGUGGCAGAUGGAUGACAUGACCUGGAGACCAGAGCACGAGAUGAGUGCCCAGACUGCGCGACUCCCCCUGUGACCCCCCGUAACCCCUCUGACCACUCUGUACACGUCUCCCACUCUGUACAGCGUGCAGACAGCCGAGCCGCCGGACUCUUCCCACUGGCGUUCGUUAAGACGACAGCUUUUACAAAGCUGAAGCUUCGGGUCGAGAGUCCGACUGCCUCCUCUCGAGGGGAAAAGAGACUGUCUCGACCGCACAGAGGGGAAAAGAGACGCUCUGAGGGGCAGAAGGAUGUGUUUACACCUGCUGGAGGAAGGAGAGAGUGAGGAAGAGCUCAAGGAAGGGGGAGGAGGAGGAGGAGGAGGAGAAGGAGGAGAUAAAGCGUCUCCUGUCUCAUCAUUCCGAGUCGUACUGCUGCCAUCCAGCUCACAUGAGAGGAACAGCACAUCCAUCCAUCCGGUCUGAUCCCAGAUCACCUUCUCCUCUCUCUCGCUCUCUUUUCGUCUCUCUCGUUCUCCCUCAUGGAGAACUUCCUCGUUGUUCUCUCUGCUACACGGAUGACACGGCUGAUCCUCUCCAGACCAGUCCCAGAAUCUGCACAGGCAAGAGGCUGAAUCCGAGUGCGCUGCCGCAUGAGCAUCAUUUUAUUUUUACUUCAUAUCUCUCUCUCUCUCUCUCUCUCUCUCUCUCUCUUUCUCUCUCCUUUUUGGAGAUCCGGAGAACUGGAUAUACUGGGAAUACUGAGAAGUGCUUAGUUAAAAAAAUAACGGGAAAAAGCCACUGCUUCUGCUUCCCCUCGGAUCUGUGGAUCAUCAGGAAUCCAGGGUGCUACGGAAAACAGGGAAUUGCUACACUUUCGGUUCAUAUAUCAGAGCUGGAUUAUUUUACGGAUUUUACCAGAUCAUGCUGGGAAUUUUCCAGAAGCCUCUGCAGGAUCUAUGUGCAGACGUUACCGUGCUUUUGUCGAGCUCUUUCUGGAAAAAGACAUUUCUGUUUUGUGUGAUGUGUGUUGAUGAACUUUUCGGGAACUGCGGCUCUGACAGGAAGAGCUGCGAAUCGCAGAUCGCACAUAUAAAUCAAUGUAGCAAAUGAAAUUGUUUCCAUAGCAACAGCAAGAAAAGAGUAUGGUGUUCGUGUACCAUGUGUGGAAGGAGACUUCAGUGUCAGCGCUUCGUUACAGUCCGAGGUGAAGCUGGAGCUUCAGGUUUUUAAGGGGCUUUGAUGAAAAUUAUGGAAUUUGUUCCUAGAACAUUAAGUUAACUUGAAACGGAUAAAAAGUAUGACAUCACUUACCAAAUAAAUCAAUGGAUUCCUUAGCAAAUUUUCUUUGCUUGUGAUUUGUGCAAGGAGUUUAUCAUCAUGUUGAUGAUGAUGAUGAUGAUGAUGAUGACCAUAAAUAUUUUGCUUCAAAAUAAGUAACCCAGAGGUGGUGAAGCUUAACUAAGCCUUAGUAAAUAGGGUUCUUCAAGAGUUCCCCAGAGGUUUUGAGAAUGUUCUUAGCCUCCUAAAUGGUCUCACUCUGAAACCCAUUGUGUCUUAUACCCCUUUUCCACCAAAAAGAACCGGGUGCUGGUUCAAAGUUGGUUCCACUGGCAAACCUUCUAAGAACCGGUUUGCCUUUCCAUCGGUUAGAGAGCCAUCACAGAGCCGAGUCUGACGUCACCAUAUACGUGUCACGUUACACAGCAACGUUAGCGCAGCAGCGGCAAACAAAACCACAACAUCAACAAUG